GAGCUAUGGAGCAUAUUAACAUCCCCUCUGCGGAUUUGAAAAAAAAAAUAGACUAUCCAAGUUGGCGUCAUACGUGUAAACCUAAAUCCUACUAGUUAAUCGAUGACAAGUCAUGAACUCGGAUUUAGAUAAUGGAGAUUAGAAAUGAAAAAACUAAAUCUACCUGUUUGUCCAAACUUCUAGAUAAUAAUUCACUGCCCCUAUAUGUCCUAAAUGGAAAUGAAUUUGUUCCGGUUCUGUGUUCACUGAUUCAAUCGGUUAUUAAGGAACUGAAGGAACUGAUAAACUAUCGAUCAGUUUCGUUUA